rnacentral:rRNA from 1 species
CCUGCCUUUAAGACGUGGAUAACAAUUGGAAACAGUUGCUAAGACUGGAUAGGAAAUUAAGAGGCAUCUUUUAAUUUUUAAAAGACCUUUUUCGAAAGGUAUGCUUAAAGAGGGGCUUGCGCCACAUUAGUUAGUUGGUAAGGUAAAGGCUUACCAAGACGAUGAUGUGUAGCUGGACUGAGAGGUCGAACAGCCACAUUGGGACUGAGACACGGCCCAAACUCCUACGGGAGGCAGCAGUAAGGAAUUUUUGGCAAUGGAGGAAACUCUGACCGAGCGACGCCGCGUGAACAAUGAAGUACUUCGGUAUGUAAAGUUCUUUUAUUGAAAAAGAAAAAAUAGUGGAAAAACUAUCUUGACAUUAUUCAAUGAAUAAGCCCCGGCUAAUUAUGUGCCAGCAGCCGCGGUAAUACAUAAGGGGCGAGCGUUAUCCGGAAUUAUUGGGCGUAAAGGGUGCGUAGGCGGUUUGAUAAGUCUAUAGUUUAAAUGCAGUGCUUAACGCUGUAGCGCUAUAGAAACUGUCUGACUAGAGUUAGAUAGAGGCAAGCGGAAUUCCAUGUGUAGCGGUAAAAUGCGUAAAUAUAUGGAGGAACACCAGAGGCGUAGGCGGCUUGCUGGGUCUUAACUGACGCUGAGGCACGAAAGCGUGGGGAGCAAACAGGAUUAGAUACCCUGGUAGUCCACGCCGUAAACGAUGAGUACUAAGUGUCGGGUUUCGGCUCGGUACUGAAGUUAACACAUUAAGUACUCCGCCUGAGUAGUACGUACGCAAGUAUGAAACUUAAAGGAAUUGACGGGACCCCGCACAAGCGGUGGAUCAUGUUGUUUAAUUCGAAGAUACACGAAAAACCUUACCAGGUCUUGACAUAAUUUUGCGACAUUAUAGAAAUAUAAUGAAGGUUAUCAGAAUUACAGGUGGUGCAUGGUUGUCGUCAGCUCGUGUCGUGAGAUGUUAGGUUAAGUCCUAAAACGAGCGCAACCCUUGUCGUUAGUUGCGACCACGUAAUGGUGAGCACUUUAGCGAGACUGCCAAUGAAAAAUUGGAGGAAGGUGAGGAUUACGUCAAAUCAUCAUGCCCCUUAUGAUCUGGGCUACAAACGUGAUACAAUGGCUGUUACAAAGAGUAGCUACAACGUGAGUUUUUAGCCAAUCUCAAAAAAACAGUCUCAGUUCGGAUUGAAGUCUGCAACUCGACUUCAUGAAGUUGGAAUCGCUAGUAAUCGCGAAUCAGCAUGUCGCGGUGAAUACGUUCUCGGGGUUUGUACACACCGCCCGUCAAACCACGAAAGUUGAUAAUACCCGAAAGCGGUCGCCUAACUUCGUCAGAAGAGGGAGCCGUCUAAGGUAG